rnacentral:lncRNA from 1 species
GCGUGUAUGCAAAGUAAAGGACUACACUUCUAGACCUCCAUGAAAGUUUGAUUUUUGAUUUUUAGAAAUUUGAUCUCUAGUUCUACUCCUAAUUAGAUAAAGAUUUGAUCCUUAUUUAUAUAGAUUAAUAUAAAAUUUUUAAAUACAAUCUGAACUAUCCGAAGAGAAAUAGUUCUUCUUCCCUUCAAUUGAUAUCAGA